CUCUCGCAUCCGGUGCCUGGCUGCCAGCCCCAGCGCUCGCCAACCUCAUCUUCCCCGGCGUUUCCUCCCAGCUCCCUCCACCAUGCCGCUGCCAUGGAACUCACUGCUCGGCCGCGCCCUGGCCAUGCUCCCUGCGCUCGCCAGCCGUGCGCAUCUCCCUCUGCGCGCGCGCGCCUGCGUCCUGCGCCGCGAACCCCGCCGUGGAGCUUCCCCGAGCUCGCCCCAUGGCGCCCGGCCGAGCUCCUCCCUGCCGUGUUCUUGCUCGGCGUCCGGUUUUCCUGUGCGCCACGGUCUUCCUCCCCGAGCUCGCCCCAGCCCCUUGUAUUCCCCAUGGCCGGAGCUUCUUCCAGCUCCAGCUCGGAUCCCUCUCCCAUGGCUCUCUGCGUGCUAGCCGCUGCGCGCCCAUCUAUCUCUCGCGGAUCUCCCUCCCCAGCUCCUCUCUGCUCGUGCCGUCGCCCAGCCUGUUGGCGCGCGCAUGCUCCUCUCGCCGCGCCCCCCUGCUUCUCUUCCUCCCCUUCUCUCCUUGCUGCGUGCGCCCUGCGCUCUGCUCGCAGCGCCGCAGUUCUUUCUCCCGGCUCCCUCUGUCCGUUCUCGACCGCGCCUUGCACCGCCAGCCACGCCUCCCUGGCCAUCAUGGCGUCACUAUUUCCUGUUGCGCCGCGACAUCGUCGUGCUCGGGUGCUUAGUGUCGAGGUCGCCGCGCCAUUGUCGUUCUGGCUUCCCUUGUCCUCGUGCGGGUUUUGGUCGUGUCCACAUCUGAGACAUCAACAUCUGCAUCCCAGCAUCGUCAUCGUUUCAGCAGCCUUGUUGCACCUUGCGAUCACGCCGAAAGACGAAAGGGAAGCACCAGUGCCACGCUCGUCAAAUCGGUGAUAUACGCAAGCCGGACAGCGUCGUCGAUUUAAUGGUUUCAAUCCGGAUUUAGCUUUGGUACGUUAAUUAAUCACGUGAUGUGAAGGACAAGAGCUGGAUUAAUCACAAGACGAUGCUGAUGGAUGAAGCUAAAGUGGAUGAAUCAACCAAGUGCCAGGAUGGGAGAUACUCACCAAGUGAUCGUCAUUUAACAACACUAACAUAGUGUUAUCCCAGGUUAUAAGUUUGUUCUGUUGUGGAUGGUGCUAAGUGCCGGUGGGUUCGGCCUUCUUAUAUAAGUAUAUCCCAUCUUUAGCUUCUUUAUUGAGGAUUGUCACUUAAGCUAGCAUGUAUUUGAAAACCUAUAAAUAUUUUAUACAUUUUAAUUUGUAAUUCUUUUGAAUCAUUUUCUCUUGUAAUCACUCCGAUAAUUGUAUAAUGUAAAAUUAUUGUAACAUGUAAUCAUUUUGUAAUAAAGAAUUUAUUUCCGCUGCAAAAAAAAAAAAAAAA
rnacentral:lncRNA from 1 species